UAUAGCCAUAGUACCCUGAAUGUGUCAGAUCUUGUCUGAUCUCAGAAGCUAAGCAGGGUCAGGCCUGUUUAGUACUUCAAUGUAAGGAGGCAUGCAUUAAUCUAUGC
rnacentral:rRNA from 1 species